UACACACAGAGUGAUAUAUUUCAAGUGUUUAUUCCUUUUCAUUUUGAUGAUUAUGACUUACAGCUAAUGAAAACCCAAAAUUCAAAAGAACAUAUGAACAUAAGAAAUUUACAAACGAGAGGAGGCCAUUCAGCCCAUCACGCUUGUUUUGGGAGAACUGAGCCUUUAAAUGGUCUCUUAGUCUGGUUCAGUAGGCUACACAAUUAUGGGGAAGACUGCUGACUUGACAGACGUCCAGAAGACAGUCAUUGACACCCUCCAAAAGGAGGAUAAGCCACUAAAGGCUAUUGCUAAAGAAGCUGAUUGUCCACAGAGAUUUACAAGGAGUGGACUGUGGCUAGAGUCAGUGCUUUAAGAGCUAUGGCACACAGACAUACCCAGGACAUGGGCUGCAACUGACGAAUUCCUUGUGUCAAGCCACCCCUGAACCAGAGACAACUUCAGAAGCGCCAUAUGUGGGCUAAGGAGAAAACGGACUGGACUGUUGCUCAGUGGUCAAAAGUCCUGUCCUCAGAUAGACACCAGACCAAACAAUGCAGACGAGCAGAAGGCCGGUAUCAAAGCAUCCUGGGCUUCUAUAACACCUCAGCAGUGCCACAGGCUGAUCGCCUCCAUGCCACGCCACAUUGAUGCAGAAAUUCUUGCAAAAGGAGUCCUAACCAAGUAUUGUCUCUUGGGCAAAAAGGCUUCUUGCUGUCCUGAAACCAAGACAACUCCCUGGCUUGCAACAGGUUAUGUUUACUGAAGAAGAGACCUGGCAUAUCACUGGAAGAACAUCAUCCCUCCUGUGAAGAAUGGCGGGGAUAAUAUCCUUUCAUGAAGCACUGGAUCAAAGGAUUGGUCCAAAAGAUAGUUUCAUAAAAACCUGUGGUUUCUUGACAGAAAAAAAUGAAACUGGGUAAAGAUUAAUUAACAAUGUAGUUAACUGUUAUGUAAAGCAUGCUGCCAAAUUAACAGUGGAGUGGCUCAAGCACAAAAAGGAGAAAGUCCUGAAGUGUUUUAGUCUUAAUAGAGCCCUGACCAGGAACCAUGUUGGAUGACAUCAGUCUAAAAACUGUCUCUCAUGGAGAGCAAGGCAUGGUAUGAGAAGCUCUUUGUGUACAAACGGCAGAUAAAUUGUAUCUUAUAUUGAAAUAUGUCAUAAGCCAACAACAGAUUUGGGUCAUAUGGAGAAUCUUCCCCUAUUUACAAAUCAUAUAUGAGCCAGUUCAGGUUUAGGAAAGAUGCAUAAUAGCAGAACUGACUGUAUUUGUCUUUUGGUCCAGUCUGAGCGGCAAAAUUAAAUCAGCUUAAUGGAAAUAAACUAUAAAGUGUUUCAACCAGCAUGUAGGGGCAAGAAAUAAAAUUGAAAAUCGAUGUCACAUUAUACAAUCAAUGUAUACCCCUUUAAUUCACAGCAUCAGGUUUCUUAAAUUACAAUUAGCCAUCAAUAGAGUGCCAUCUAAACUCUGCAUGCAAAAAACAUAAUUUAAUUGGGACCCCGAACACAGAAUAAAAAUCUUGUCAGCCCUCUCCAUGAUAUAGAUCCCACUGGUACCAGCAUGAGCCACAUUUCAUAGCUCAUGGUCAUUUACAAACUAAAAACGAAUUACGUGAACCAAUAUCUAGGAACUGAGUGCACCUUUGCUGGCACAUGCUGAAUGUAAGGUGGCAUUCUUGUUCAAAAGGACAAAUCUUUGGCAAAAGAUCUGAGGUGAUUUAUGGCUGGUGAUUGAGACAUUGUGUAAUGUAGCCACCAGGAUUUUUUUGUAAUUAAACCACUGGAUAUAUUACUUUAAUUAAUGCAUUGGGUCUUAUGUUUUUUAAGUUGUAUUGCCUUGCUUGAGUCUUUCAUCUUUACAAGUUUUGAUUUAUUGCCAUCUCAGUAGGGUGAUUUUUAAGAAGUCAUGAUCUAAUUAAAAUAUGGUGAUAUUUAUUCCAUUUUUUAAGAGGGUCUAUUCACUCCCCUAGACUUCAAAGCUAAAUUUUAGCACAACAACCAAAAUGAGAGGGUAAAGUAUUUCACUUCAUUCUUUCUUAAUCUCAUUACUACUCUUUUUGUUCUCAUACCUGCAAGAGAAAAAGAAAACCUCAGAUCAUUUUUUUGUUUGCCGGGCUUUUAAGAUUUGUUGUUAUUCUGCCAUCUGGAAAGCAGCAUGUCCAUUAUAAUGUGUUUUAUUCACAAAAUCUGUCCAAGUCAAACCCACGGAAAGACCAUCUUUUCUCUCACUCUGCCCAAUUCAUAGCUUUCUUUUUUCCUUUUAUAUGCAGGCUGUUGAUGAGGUUAGGCUAAUCAGAUUAAGUCAAGUCUGUACUCGCAGACUUCCCUGUGACAUCUCCAAACACUUUUUCUUUUUUGUUCUUAUACACUUUUCAUCAAGUCAUCCCACUAAAAGGCUUUUGUAAGCAGUUUCCAAUAGAGUCUUUUAUAAACCCAAGUAGCCUUAUAACACAAGAUACUAGACAGUGUUUCUUUUCUGGAGUAGUGAGUAGAAGACUGGGCCAAUUACACAUUUCCACCAGUCCUGGAUAAAUAGUGAUGUUGGCAAGACAACCUAAACUUAAUUCUGUCAAUUGCUUGAAUUUAUUCAAGUUCAUGGGGAAAUGUUAACUAAAUAUUUUCAUGGCAGUUAGUAACAUUGUAUUUAACAAUAUAAUGUGUGUGUGUGUGUGUG